AUCACAGAGUAACGGAGCAGCAACCUCCAGUGCUCUGGUCAUCUUCUGCAACAAGAAACUAAAACUUUAACUUCAGAGUCCAGCCUUCGCCUCUCGCUCUUUAAUUGUCCGUCAUUCUCUGGUGUUUUUGUGGCGUGGCCAUCACAGAGCCGAGCCCCGCCGAGAGACGCCGAGUUUUGAUGUCGAGGAGUUGCAAACAAGAGCGAGGAGGAGAUGCGAUCCGUCUGAACAACAACCGUUACUUUAAUUAAAAAAAAAAAAAA